AUUGAACGCUGGCGGCAUGCUUUACACAUGCAAGUCGAACGGUAACAGGCCGCAAGGUGCUGACGAGUGGCGAACGGGUGAGUAAUGCAUCGGAACGUGCCCAGUCGUGGGGGAUAACUACUCGAAAGAGUAGCUAAUACCGCAUACGAUCUAUGGAUGAAAGCGGGGGACCGUAAGGCCUCGCGCGAUUGGAGCGGCCGAUGUCAGGUUAGGUAGUUGGUGGGGUAAAGGCUCACCAAGCCAACGAUCUGUAGCUGGUCUGAGAGGACGACCAGCCACACUGGGACUGAGACGCGGCCCAGACUCCUACGGGAGGCAGCAGUGGGGAAUUUUGGACAAUGGGCGCAAGCCUGAUCCAGCAAUGCCGCGUGCAGGAAGAAGGCCUUCGGGUUGUAAACUGCUUUUGUACGGAACGAAACGGCUCUGGUUAAUACCCGGGGCUAAUGACGGUACCGUAAGAAUAAGCACCGGCUAACUACGUG
rnacentral:rRNA from 1 species